rnacentral:rRNA from 1 species
CAAUAGCGUAUAUUAAAGUUGUUGCAGUUAAAAAGCUCGUAGUUGAAUUCCUGUCAGGAGUGACCGGGCCUUUGGAUGAACUUCCAUUGUUUUUUGCUCUGUUUGUCAUCUCUAGACAUCCUGAAAUAUUUUUUAAAAAUAUUUCUCUUUUACUGUUAGCAAAAUAGAGUGUUCCAAGCAAAGCGUAGUUUUGAAUACAUUAGAAUGGAAUAAUAAGAUAGGACUUUGGUGCUAUUUUGUUGGUUUGCACACCAAGGUAAUGAUUAAUAGGGACAGUUGGGGGUAUUCGUAUUUAAUUGUCAGAGGUGAAAUUCUUGGAUUUAUGAAAGACGAACUACUGCGAAAGCAUUUACCAAGGAUGUUUUCAUUAA